rnacentral:rRNA from 1 species
AUUGAACGCUGGCGGCAGGCCUAACACAUGCAAGUCGAGCGGAUGAAGGGAGCUUGCUCCUGGAUUCAGCGGCGGACGGGUGAGUAAUGCCUAGGAAUCUGCCUGGUAGUGGGGGAUAACGUCCGGAAACGGGCGCUAAUACCGCAUACGUCCUGAGGGAGAAAGUGGGGGAUCUUCGGACCUCACGCUAUCAGAUGAGCCUAGGUCGGAUUAGCUAGUUGGUGGGGUAAAGGCCUACCAAGGCGACGAUCCGUAACUGGUCUGAGAGGAUGAUCAGUCACACUGGAACUGAGACACGGUCCAGACUCCUACGGGAGGCAGCAGUGGGGAAUAUUGGACAAUGGGCGAAAGCCGGAUCCAGCCAUGCCGCGUGUGUGAAGAAGGUCUUCGGAUUGUAAAGCACUUUAAGUUGGGAGGAAGGGCAGUAAGUUAAUACCUU